rnacentral:rRNA from 1 species
GAUGAACGCUGGCGGCGUGCCUAAUACAUGCAAGUCGAGCGAACGGACGAGAAGCUUGCUUCUCUGAUGUUAGCGGCGGACGGGUGAGUAACACGUGGAUAACCUACCUAUAAGACUGGGAUAACUUCGGGAAACCGUAGCUAAUACCGGAUAAUAUUUUGAACCGCAUGGUUCAAAAGUGAAAGACGGUCUUGCUGUCACUUAUAGAUGGAUCCGCGCUGCAUUAGCUAGUUGGUAAGGUAACGGCUUACCAAGGCAACGAUGCAUAGCCGACCUGAGAGGGUGAUCGGCCACACUGGAACUGAGACACGGUCCAGACUCCUACGGGAGACAGCAGUAGGGAAUCUUCCGCAAUGGGCGAAAGCCUGACGGAGCAACGCCGCGUGAGUGAUGAAGGUCUUCGGAUCGUAAAACUCUGUUAUUAGGGAAGAACAUAUGUGUAAGUAACUGUGCACAUCUUGACGGUACCUAAUCAGAAAGCCACGGCUAACUACGUG